GUGAGGAAUAUUGGUCAAUGGACGGAAGUCUGAACCAGCCAUGCCGCGUGAAGGAUGAAGGCGUUCUGCGUUGUAAACUUCUUUUAUCUGGGAAGAAACCUCCGAUUUCUAUUGGAGCCGACGGUACCAGAGGAAUAAGCACCGGCUAACUCCGUGCCAGCAGCCGCGGUAAUACGGAGGGUGCAAGCGUUAUCCGGAUUUACUGGGUUUAAAGGGUGUGUAGGCGGACCAUUAAGUCAGCGGUGAAAUCUCCGGGCUCAACCCGGAAACUGCCAUUGAUACUAUUGGUCUUGAAUGUUGUGGAGGUGGGCGGAACGGGUCAUGUAGCGGUGAAAUGCAUAGAUAUGACCCGGAACACCGAUUGCGAAGGCAGCCCGCUACGCAACGAUUGACGCUGAGGCACGAAAGCGUGGGGAUCAAACAGG
rnacentral:rRNA from 1 species